ensembl:lncRNA
UCUGCCUGCCGGUUCUGGGCUCCACAGCCACCAGGUGCUGGCGUGCGUUUGGUGGAUUUGCCCUGCCAUGCCACCCAAAGAGCCUUAGGCAUUAAUGGAUGUAUUUGUUCUGCUCGGUAAUCAUUAAUUGCCCUCUGAAAUAAAGCAGAAUAAAUGGUGGCAUGAAGAGGUCGCCGGGAGCCUCUCCGAUGCGGUUCUAGCCGGUCCGAGGAGGUCCAGGAGGGUGUUGUUUGGUUGUGGAUCUUUGAAUUAAUGUGCUUCUAGUUUGCUUUAGAGGGGAGGCUCGACCCAACCCCAGCUGCUCCUGGAAUCGCCCCAAACAGACUUGGAGGGAUCACCUCAGAAUCUCCUGCAGGGCUCCCGAGCAUGAAACAAGCCGUGGCUUGGAAUGUGCUGGAAUAUCUUUGCCGAUUGCUGGGCAUCUCGACCGGAGCAGUGCAAUGACGCCAUGUCUGUGAAACUUCUGCCAAGCCAAAUGAGUGAAGAGCUAAGCUGCAUGUUAUUUCCAAGACUUCCACACCGGCUCCAGAGGCCUUUUCAGAAAGCGGAC